rnacentral:sRNA from 1 species
UGUCGUGUAUAGUAUAGUUAGUACUGGUGUCAUGUAUAUUUAGUACAGGUGUCGUGUAUAGUUUAGUACUCGUGUCGUGUAUAGUUUAGUACUGGUGUCGUGUAUAGUUUAGUACUGGUAUCGUGUAUAGUUUAGUACUGGUAUCGUGUAUAGUUUAGUAUAGUUUAGUACUGGUAUCGUGUAUAGUUUAGUAUUGUUUAGUACUCGUGUCGUGUAUAGUUUAGUACU